rnacentral:rRNA from 1 species
UGGGGAAUCUUGGACAAUGGGGGAAACCCUGAUCCAGCGACGCCGCGUGGGUGAUGAAGGCCUUCGGGUCGUAAAGCCCUGUCGGGAGGGACGAAACUCUUGCCGGUAAAUAAUCGGCGAGAUUGACGGUACCUCUAAAGGAAGCACCGGCUAACUCUGUGCCAGCAGCCGCGGUAAGACAGAGGGUGCUAGCGUUGUUCGGAAUUACUGGGCGUAAAGGGCGCGUAGGCGGUCUGUUAAGUUCGGUGUGAAAUCCCCUGGCUCAACUGGGGAACUGCGCUGGAAACUGGCAGACUCGAGUACCGGAGAGGAGAGUGGAAUUCCUGGUGUAGCGGUGAAAUGCGUAGAUAUCAGGAGGAACACCGGUGGCGAAGGCGGCUCUCUGGACGGAUACUGACGCUGAGGCGCGAAAGCGUGGGGAUCAAACAG